GCCGCACCAUCGGGCCCUUCGGCUACGGCGCCGGGACGCCCUUCAGCGUCCCCGUGCGCGGCGACGGCGGCGUCGUCGGCUUCUUCGUCCGCGCCGGCGCCUACCUGGAGGCCAUCGGCGUCUACGUCAACCCGUGCAUCCCCUCCGAGAAAUGAAUUGAAUUGAAUUUGAUCAACACCACCGAUAUGAUAUGAUCCAUCCAGUUACCACCCG
rnacentral:misc_RNA from 1 species